UUUGUUGGUUAUUGUGAUAACGUAAGGGAAAAAAAAUGAUAUUACCUUACUAUUAGUGUUGUCCAAAACUGGUGCCAGAAGACUCGGUAAGGCCAGAGACGCGAACGUUAGUCGUCCUAAUCAGGCGUAAAGGGUGUGUAGGCUGCUUUCAAAAUCAUAUUUUUCAAAUAGCUAUUAUAACGAAGCUCUGUUUAAAUACAAUAUAUACCACUUUAAAUAUCUUCAAUAUAAGGUAAGAUAUGAUGAAUAAAAGCUAGAAUCAAAACGAGGAUAAUACAAAGAAUACUUAGAGUAGGGUCGAUAUCCUAAGAUACUAAGUGGAAUACUAAAGGUGAAAACUAUUUAUCUAGAAAUGAUUGACGCUGAGAAACGAAGGUGAGAAUAGGAAAUAGGAUUAGAUACCCAGAUACCUCUCACUGUUAACGAUGAAUGGUGGUUUGUUAGUUUAUAGAGAAACUAGUAACGAUGCUAACGCGAUAACCAUUCCGCCUUGCGAGUACGGUUGCAAAACUGAAACCAAAAAAAUUAGUCGGUCUCGAAGCAAACGAAGUGAAGCAUGUUAU
rnacentral:rRNA from 1 species